rnacentral:rRNA from 1 species
AGUCUGGUGCCAGCAGCCGCGGUAAUUCCAGCUCCAAUAGUGUAUAUUAAAGUUGUUGCAGUUAAAAAGCUCGUAGUUGGAUGUCGGUUACUGUUAUGAGUGUCCACACUCUGUGUGUGCGUACACGAAUACAGAACCUUCUUUCUGGUAGUGAUCUUGUAUUGCUCCAGAUAUUUUACUUUGAGAAAAUUAGAGUGUUCAAAGCAGGCGUAACAUUGCCUUUGAAUAUAUUAGCAUGGGAUAAUGAAAUAAGACUAUUGCCUUAUUCUCGUUGGUUCUUUUAGGCUUAAGUAAUGAUUAGUAGGGACAGUUGGGGUUAUCUGUAUUUGAUCGCCAGAGGUGAAAUUCUAAGACUGAUCAAAGACAAACUACUGCGAAAGCAUUUAACAAGGAUGUUUUCAUUAAUCAAGAACGAAAGUUGGGGGAUCGAAGAUGAUCAGAUACCGUCGUAGUCCCAACCAUAAACUAUGUCGACCAAGGAUUCGAGAUCGUUAAAUGAAUGACCUCUCGGGCACUUAUAGAGAAAUCAUAAGUAUUUGGAUUCCGGGGGGAGUAUGGUCGCAAGGCUGAAACUUAAAGAAAUUGACGGAAGGGCACCACAAGGAGUGGAAUAUGCGGUUUAAUUUGACCCAACACGGGAAAACUUACCAGGUCCAGACACAAGGAGGAUUGACAGAUUGAGAGCUCUUUCUUAAUUUUGUGGGUGGUGGUGCAUGGCCGUUUCUAGUUGGUGGAGUGAUUUGUCUGGUUAAUUCCGUUAACGAACGAGACCUUAACCUAUUAAAUAGUAACAUCUACUUGGAUAAUUUACUUCCAAUAGUAGGUGGUUUACUUCUUAGAGGUACUCUUCACGUAAAGAGUGAAUGGAAGUUUGAGGCAAAAACAGGUCUGUGAUGCCCUUAGAUGUUCUGGGCUACACGCGUGUUACACUGAUACAUUCAACAAGUAUAAUAUUCCUUACUCUAGUGAGUCGGGUAAUCUUUUAAAUAUGUAUCGUGAUGGGGAUAGAGCAUUGUAAUUUUUGCUCUUGAACGAGGAAUUCCUAGUAAGUGCAAGUCAUUAACUUGCGCUGAUUACGUCCCUGCCCUUUGUACACACCGCCCGUCGCUCCUACCGAUGAAUGGUCCGGUGAGGAUUCGGGAUGACCUUUGAUGCUGAUCUAAUCACAUCACUGAUUGUCAGAACUUAUUCAAACCUUAUCAUUUAAAGGAAGGAGAAGUCGUAACAAGGUU